rnacentral:rRNA from 1 species
UACAGAGGUGCCGAGCGUUAGGCGGAAUCACUGGGCUUAAAGCGCGUGUAGGCGGGUCGUUAAGUGUCCGCGUGAAAUCCCACGGCUCAACCGUGGAACUGCCGGGCAUACUGGCGACCUUGAGGCACUCAGGGGCGAGCGGAACAAAUGGUGGAGCGGUGAAAUGCGUAGAUAUCUGGAGGAACACCGGUGGCGAAGGCGGUUCUCUGGGCCUGUACUGACGCUGAGGAGCGAAAGCGUGGGGAGCGAACAGG